UAUGCAAUGAGUUUAAGCUCAAAACAUCCUGCAAAUAUACAUACACAAAAUGAAAGAAAGAAAUAAAAAAGAAAAAAGAAAAAAUGGAAAAAUAGGUCACAUAUUUGUAUGUUUCUUGUUUUUCCAUUUUUUUUUUUUUUUUUUUUUUCCUUUUUCUUUCUCCUAAUUUGUGUAAUUUUUAUAAAAACAGGAAGGAAGGUCUGAGAUGCUGCAUUUAAAGAAUAGAAAAGAAAAGUCAAUGAAUUUUAAUUUUUUUUUUUUUUUUUUUAUUAUUCUUAUGAAUUAAAAAGAAAGAGAAAAAAAGUUAUAACAUUCGUUGUUACUUUUUAUUUCACAUAUAUAUAUAUAUAUAUAUAUAUAUAUAUAUAUAUAUAUAUAUAUUCUUUAAUAAAAUUUUUGAGAGAAAAAGUAUUGAACAAAUAUUAAUUAGUUACCAGAAAUAUCAAUCAUAUAUUUAAAAUUUCGUAAGAAGUUUUGUGUAUGGUUUUGAAAAAGCUAAUAAGCAAGUAUACAUUGGUGAGUUCGAUUUUUGAGGUUUUUCUUUAUUCCUACAUCUCAUAUAUCAAUAUUUUUUUUAUAAUUAUAUAUUAUACGAGGUGAUAAUAAGAAAAAUAACUUAAUUCAGACUACUCCUAAAUUCAUUGCUACAA
rnacentral:RNase_P_RNA from 1 species